UGGUGGAGUGAUUUGUCUGCUUAAUUGCGUUAACGAACGAGACCUUAACCUGCUAAAUAGUUAUGCCAACUUUUGUUGGUAGCCAACUUCUUAGAGGGACUGUCGGCAUCAAGCCGACGGAAGUUUGAGGCAAUAACA
rnacentral:rRNA from 1 species